GCCUCCUUCGGGACCCGUGCACAGGUGCUGCAUGGCUGUCGUCAGCUCGUGUCGUGAGAUGUUGGGUUAAGUCCCGCAACGAGCGCAACCCUUGCCCCGUGUUGCUAACAGGUCAAGCUGAGGACUCUCGGGGGACUGCCGGCGUCAAGCCGGAGGAAGGUGGGGACGACGUCAAGUCAUCAUGGCCCUUACGCCCAGGGCUACACACGUGCUACAAUGGCAGGGACAGAGGGCUGCAAGGCCGCGAGGCGGAGCGAAUCCCAGAAACCCUGUCUAAGUUCGGAUUGCAGGCUGCAACUCGCCUGCAUGAAGCCGGAAUCGCUAGUAAUCGCGGAUCAGCCACGCCGCGGUGAAUACGUUCCCGGGCCUUGUACACACCGCCCGUCACGCCAUGGAAGCCGGGAGCGCCCGAAGUCCGUGUCCCAACCGCAAGGAGGGAGCGGCCGAAGGCGAGCUCGGUGACUGGGGCGAAGUCGUAACAAGGUAGCCGUAGGGGAACC
rnacentral:rRNA from 1 species